CGCACGGGUGAGAAACACGUGGGUAAUCUACCCCUUAGAUUGGAAUAACCUGUCGAAAGACGGGCUAAUGCCAAGUACGCUCCUUAAAUCAUAAAGGUUUUUGGAGGAAAGAUGGCGCAAGCUAUCGCUGAGGGAUGAGCCUGCGCCCCAUUAGCUAGUUGGUGAGGUAAUGGCUUACCAAGGCUACGAUGGGUAGCUGGUCUGAGAGGAUGAUCAGCCACACUGGAACUGAAACACGGUCCAGACUCC
rnacentral:rRNA from 1 species